rnacentral:tRNA from 1 species
UCUAAUAUGGCAGAUAAGUGCAAUAGAUUUAAGCUCUAUACAUAAAGGAUUGACCUUUUAUUAGAU